GGCCAAAUGAUUCAGUCCACGUUUGGGAGAUUUUCAUUACUGGAAAGGGACCUUUCCUCCUGAACUGAGAUUGUGAGUCUAACUCGAAGCAAGAAAAGAGAAGCAAAGCCCACACCUCUGUAUGAACCCCCUCAGGUUUAAACCACCAGCCAACAAAUGUGUUUCCUGCGUAGGGGUGAUGGUGUUUCCUCAUCCGACUGCUUUUCCAGAGUUCACAGACUCCACACACGCCUGUUGUUCCUGCAGCAACGCUCAAUCCUCAUCCCCCCCAGCACAUCAGUAUUCAAAUUUGUCACCUUACGAAGAGCUGGUUCUGCUGAGACCCUCUGGACCCCGGCCAGCGGUGGGACGUGGAGGGACUCGAGCUGGGACCUCUGAGCACCACCAUCUCCUUGCCCUUGACCCGGCUUGUUUCCACGCCAGACACAACUCGCUCAGCCCUACGUUUCCUCCAGGGAUGCACAAAGAGUGCAAGGGGUUUGAAAGUGCUGUUGUGUGGGUGAGAGAUCCAGUACUCGUGAAAGGUGACGUACACACCUGUGCCAGAGCUACCUUUGGGAAUCCCUGGCAGCGAGCUGUGUGGCCCCCGUUUGAGCUGAGAAUUUGCCUGCAGCCCUCGGCGUUUCCACUGGCCUGA
rnacentral:lncRNA from 1 species